UACGUAGGGGGCAAGCGUUGUCCGGAAUCAUUGGGCGUAAAGCGCGUGUAGGCGGCUUGGUAAGUCCGCUCUGAAAGCCCGGGGCUCAACCCCGGGAGGCGGGGGGAUACUGUCAAGCUCGAGUCCGGAAGAGGCGAGUGGAAUUCCUGGUGUAGCGGUGAAAUGCGCAGAUAUCAGGAGGAACACCAAUGGCGAAGGCAGCUCGCUGGGACGUGACUGACGCUGAGACGCGAAAGCGUGGGGAGCAAACAGG
rnacentral:rRNA from 1 species